GACGAACGCUGGCGGCGUGCUUAACACAUGCAAGUCGAACGGACAGGCCCUGCUUUUGCGGGGUGCACGAGUGGCGAACGGGUGAGUAAAACGUGAGUAAAAUGCCCUUGACUUUGGGAUAAAUUCAGGAAACUGGGGCUAAUAUCGGAUAGGAGCUACUGCUGCACAGUGGGGGAUGGUAAGUUUCGGCGGUUGGGGAUGGACUAGCGGCUUAUCCGCUUGUUGGUGGGGUAGUGGCUUACCAAGGUUUUGACGGGUAGCCGGCCUGAGAGGGUGACCGGCGACAUGGGGACUGAGGGACGGCGCAGACGCCUACGGGAGGCAACAGGGGGGAAUAUGGCACAAUGGGCGGAAGCCAGAUGCAGCGGCGCCGCGUGCGUGAUAACGGCCUUCGGGGUGUGAACCGAUGUCGCCGUUGACGAGGCGGGAGUGACGGUAAUGGGUAAGAAAGCACCGGCUAACUACGUG
rnacentral:rRNA from 1 species